rnacentral:rRNA from 1 species
AGAGUUUGAUCCUGGCUCAGGAUGAACGCUAGCGGCAGGCCUAAUACAUGCAAGUCGGACGGGAUCCAUCGGUAGCUUGCUACCGAUGGUGAGAGUGGCGCACGGGUGCGUAACGCGUGAGCAACCUGCCCAUAUCAGGGGGAUAGCCCGGAGAAAUCCGGAUUAACACCGCAUGACACUGCUUUUCGGCAUCGGGAGGUAGUCAAAUAUUCAUAGGAUAUGGAUGGGCUCGCGUGACAUUAGCUAGUUGGUGGGGUAACGGCCCACCAAGGCGACGAUGUCUAGGGGCUCUGAGAGGAGAAUCCCCCACACUGGUACUGAGACACGGACCAGACUCCUACGGGAGGCAGC